rnacentral:rRNA from 1 species
GACGAACGCUGGCGGCGUGCUUAACACAUGCAAGUCGAACGGAAAGGCCAUGAUUUUGUGCUGUGCUCGAAUGGCGAUCGGGUGAGUAACACGUGAGUAAACUACCCUGUACUUUGGGAUAACUUCACGAAACUGGGGCUAAUACCGGACAGGAGCUCCUGCUGAAAGGUUGGGGAUGGAGAGUUUCGGCGGUUCGGGAUGGACUCGCGGCUGAUCAGCUUGUUGGUGGGGUAGUGGCGUACCAAAGCUUUGAGGGGUAGCCGGCCUGGGAGGGUGACCGGCCACGUUGGGACUGAGAUGCGGCCCAGACUAGUACCGGAGGCAGAGGUGGAGAGUGUUGUACUACGGAAGGAAGCGUAAUGCAGCAACGCCGCGUCCGGGAUGUCGUGCAUCGAGUUGUAAACCGAAAUCGCCUGUGAUGAAGCGUAAAUGACGGUAAUGGGUAAAAAAGCACCGGCUAACUACGUG